GCAGACUACUGCAUAUUAUGUCAUGUGGA
rnacentral:piRNA from 1 species